UACCAUGCAAGUCGAACGAAGCCUUCGGGCUUAGUGGCGCACGGGUGCGUAACGCGUGGGAAUCUGCCCUUGGGUUCGGGAUAACAGUGAGAAAUUACUGCUAAUACCGGAUGAUGUCUUCGGACCAAAGAUUUAUCGCCCAAGGAUGAGCCCGCGUUAGAUUAGCUAGUUGGUGGGGUAAUGGCCUACCAAGGCGACGAUCUAUAGCUGGUCUGAGAGGAUGAUCAGCCACACUGGGACUGAGACACGGCCCAGACUCCUACGGGAGGCAGCAGUGGGGAAUAUUGGACAAUGGGCGAAAGCCUGAUCCAGCAAUGCCGCGUGAGUGAUGAAGGCCUUAGGGUUGUAAAGCUCUUUUACCAGGGAUGAUAAUGACAGUACCUGGAGAAUAAGCUCCGGCUAACUCCGUGCCAGCAGCCGCGGUAA
rnacentral:rRNA from 1 species